rnacentral:rRNA from 1 species
GACGAACGCUGGCGGCGUGCUUAACACAUGCAAGUCGAACGGGCCUGUCUUCUUUUUUGGGGGGUGGGUUGAGUGGCGAACGGGUGAGUAUCACGUGAGUAACCUGCCCUUCGGACCUGGAUAACCGCUUGAAAGGGCGGCUAAUACGGGGUGGUCCGGUUGGUCCGCAUGGGCUGGUCGGGAUAGAUUCACUGUUUUUGGUGUUUCGGCGGGGGAUGGGCUCGCGGCCUAUCAGCUUGUUGGUGGGGUGAUGGCCUACCAAGGCGGUGACGGGUAGCCGGCCUGAGAGGGUGGGCGGCCACACUGGGACUGAGAUACGGCCCAGACUCCUGCGGGAGGCAGCAGUGGGGGGUAUUGCACAAUGGGCGGAAGCCUGAUGCAGCGACGUCGCGUGAGGGAUGGAGGCCUUCGGGUUGUGAACCUCUGUUUCCGGUGGUGAAGGCCCUGUCCGUGUGGUGGGGUUGACGGUAGCCGGGGAUGAAGCGCCGGCUAACUACGUG